AUUGAACGCUGGCGGCAUGCCUUACACAUGCAAGUCGAACGGUAACAGGUCUUCGGAUGCUGACGAGUGGCGAACGGGUGAGUAAUACACCGGAACGUGCCCGAUCGUGGGGGAUAACGAAGCGAAAGCUUUGCUAAUACCGCAUAAGAUCUACGGAUGAAAGCAGGGGACCGCAAGGCCUUGCGCGAACGGAGCGGCCGAUGGCAGAUUAGGUAGUUGGUGGGAUAAAAGCUUACCAAGCCGACGAUCUGUAGCUGGUCUGAGAGGACGACCAGCCACACUGGGACUGAGACACGGCCCAGACUCCUACGGGAGGCAGCAGUGGGGAAUUUUGGACAAUGGGCGAAAGCCGGAUCCAGCCAUGCCGCGUGCAGGAUGAAGGCCUUCGGGUUGUAAACUGCUUUUGUACGGAACGAAAAGACUCUUUCUAAUAAAGAGGGUCCAUGACGGUACCGUAAGAAUAAGCACCGGCUAACUACGUGCCAGCCGCCGCCGUAAUAC
rnacentral:rRNA from 1 species